rnacentral:rRNA from 1 species
CCCUUAGAUGUUCUGGGCCGCACGCGCGCUACACUGAUGCGUUCAACAAGCCUAGCCUUGACCGAGAGGUCCGGGUAAUCUUUGAAACUGCAUCGUGAUGGGGCUAGAUUAUUGCAAUUAUUAAUCUUCAACGAGGAAUGCCUAGUAAGCGUGAUUCAUCAAAUCGCGUUGAUUACGUCCCUGCCCUUUGUACACACCGCCCGUCGCUCUUACCGAUUGAAUGUGUUGGUGAGGAGCUCGGAUUGGCAGCAGUUGGUGGUUCGCCACCGGCUAUUGCUGAGAAGUCCUCCAAACCGCCCCAUUUAGAGGAAGGAGAAGUCGUAACA